rnacentral:piRNA from 1 species
UAGACAUGGAAAAAGGCACAUAGGUAUGA